UUUUAUGGAUGAGCAAAGAAAGUGGUUUCUUGAGAUUGAGUCAACUCCUGGUGAAGGUGCUGUGAA
rnacentral:pre_miRNA from 1 species